rnacentral:lncRNA from 1 species
CCCCUGGUGUUUAAUCCCUUUUCAUUAAUUUAAUUGCUCUAAAAAUUUUCCUUUUUUGUAAUUUCACUAUCACAUAAACGUUUUUCUGCUUCAGAUAGUUUCAUUUAUAGUAUGUAGUAAAUUUUUCCAAGCCACUCUAUUAUCCCCCCUCGAGUUAAAAAGUUUCUCAUACUAUUUUAAUUGUUCACUUAAGAUUAAACUGAUAUUUUUUUUUGUAUGUGUCAUUUUCGGCUUUUAUUUCUGACCAUAGUUUUUCUUUUCCUUUUUUUUGGUUCUAAUCUAAAAAAAUAAUUUGCGGAUUUUUCAUCUUUAUCAUACCAAUUUAUUUUUGAUCUUAUGCACGCUGCUUCUGCUUUUUG